rnacentral:rRNA from 1 species
GAUGAACGCUGGCGGCGUGCCUAACACAUGCAAGUCGAACGGACAGGCCCUGCUCUUGCUGGUUGCUCGAGUGGCGCACGCGGGAGUAACACGUGAGUAUACUGCACUUGACAUUGGGAUAACUCCACGAAACUGCGGCUAAUACAGGAUAGGAGCUACUGCUGCAUGGUGGGGGAUGGAAAGUUUCGGCGGUUGUGGAUGGACUGGCGGCUUAUCCGCUUCAUGGUGAGGUAGUGGCUGACCAAGGCUUUGACGGGUAGCCGGCCUGAGAGGGUGACCGGCCACAUGGGGACUGAGAGACGGACCAGACUCCUACGUGCGGCAGCAGUGGAGAGUAUUGCACAAUGGGCGGAAGCCUGAGGCAGCAACGCCGCGUGCGGGAUGACGGCCUUCGGGUUAUAAACCGCUUUCGCCUGUGACGAAGCGGGAGUGACGGUAAUGGGUAAAGAAGCACCGGCUAACUACGUG